CGUAGGGUGCAAGCGUUGUCCGGAAUUAUUGGGCGUAAAGAGCUCGUAGGCGGUCUGUCGCGUCGGCUGUGAAAACUCGGGGCUCAACCCCGAGCCUGCAGUCGAUACGGGCAGACUAGAGUGCGGUAGGGGAGACUGGAAUUCCUGGUGUAGCGGUGAAAUGCGCAGAUAUCAGGAGGAACACCGAUGGCGAAGGCAGGUCUCUGGGCCACUACUGACGCUGAGAAGCGAAAGCAUGGGGAGCGAACAGG
rnacentral:rRNA from 1 species